rnacentral:misc_RNA from 1 species
UCUCCGUUGGUGAACCAGCGGAGGGAUCAUUACAGAGUUGCAAGACUCCCAAACCAUUGUGAACGUUACCUAUCCCGUUGCUUCGGCGGGCGGCCCGGGCCCCGCGCCCGGCGCCCCCCGGCCCCCCGUGGGCGCCCGCCGGAGGUAAACCAAACCCUUGAAUUGCAUGGCCUCUCUGAGUCUUCUGUACUGAAUAAGUCAAAACUUUCAACAACGGAUCUCUUGGUUCUG